GCUGGAUAUAGUGGUGCAUGCCUGUGAUCCCAGCAGCUCUGGAAGCUGAGGCAGGAGGAUUGUUAGUUCAAAACCAGGCUCAGCAAAAGGCAGGUGCUAAGCAACUCAGUGAGACCCUGUCUCUA
rnacentral:sRNA from 1 species